UACUGAUAUGCCGACCUUGCUCCACUUU
rnacentral:sRNA from 1 species